GACGAACGCUGGCGGCGUGCUUAACACAUGCAAGUCGAACGGAAAGGCCCUGCUUUUGUGGGGUGCUCGAGUGGCGAACGGGUGAGUAACACGUGAGUAACCUGCCCUUGACUUUGGGAUAACUUCAGGAAACUGGGGCUAAUACCGGAUAGGAGCUCCUGCUGCAUGGUGGGGGUUGGAAAGUUUCGGCGGUUGGGGAUGGACUCGCGGCUUAUCAGCUUGUUGGUGGGGUAGUGGCUUACCAAGGCUUUGACGGGUAGCCGGCCUGAGAGGGUGACCGGCCACAUUGGGACUGAGAUACGGCACAGACUCCUACGGGAGGCAGCAGUGGAGAAUAUUGCACAAUGGGCGGAAGCCUGAUGCAGCAACGCCGCGUGCGGGAUGACAGCCUUCGGGUUGUAAACCGCUUUCGCCUGUGACGAAGCGUGAGUGACGGUAAUGGGUAAAGAAGCACCGGCUAACUACGUG
rnacentral:rRNA from 1 species